AUGAUCCUUAACGAUAUCCACUUGGGGACCUGUGGUCAUCAUGCGUCCUCUCGGACCAUUGUGGCUAAAGCAUACCGAGCGGGGUUCUACUGGCCAAGAGCCAAUGAGAUGGCAAAAGAGAUAGUCGAUAAAUGUGAAGGAUGUCAGUAUUACUCCAAUAUGCCGCACAAGCCCGUGUCAGCCCUGAAAACCAUUCCACUCGUCUGGCCCUUCGCUGUUUGGGGGCUGGACAUGGUUGGACCACUGAGAACAGGCAGGAGCGGCUUCACUCAUGUGCUGGUAGCAGUCGACAAGUUCACCAAAUGGAUUGAA
rnacentral:rRNA from 1 species